ACUGUUAUUUGUUUAGUUUCAUGUAUAAGUAGGAUUAAAAUAAAUAAAUAAAAUGUAAAAAAAUAAAAUGUGCCGCCCACCGCCGGAGAACCGGGAAUGCGAUAUCACUGCCCAACGCAUGAAUCACGAUUCAUCGACAUUCUUGUGGCGCUCAGGGCCAGGCUACUGAUAUACAAAUUCAAGCCAGAGAAAUUAUUAAACUUAAGGAACAAACAACUAAUAUCUAUGUGAAACACACAAUGCUCUCAUACGAAAGACUCUACGAACUUAUGGAGAUAGACAGUUACAUGAGCCCUAAGAAGGCUAAAAGUAUGGGUCUUGUUGAUCACGUUCUGGCGCAUCCACCAGCAUAUACUAACAGCAUUGCAGCUCCUACGUCUGAUGAAGAGGAUGAAAAGGAUAUAUAACUAAAUUGGUUCCUCUGCAUAUUGAAGCAGAAGCAAUUUGGCGAACAACAUUGAUAGAUUCCACGCUGUUUAUUUCAUAAUAAUGAUUUUUGUACAGUUAAACCUUAAACAUAUAGUAAGACAAAAGAGCUUGUGAUGGUUUAUUAUGUCUUAUGGAGAACAAUAGUGAACAAUAGCAAACUCACACCUAUGUGAUACUUAUGAAAAAGAAGGCAUUGUCAGCAUUUCUUUGGGCAAACAUCAUCGUUUCAACAAGCCUGGAUGCUAGUUAUUAAUUCAGUACACGAUCAGCCAAAGAUAGCCUUUAAAAUUCAGGAAGAGAGCAUACCUUUCAACUUCCACUUUACUGAUUUUUUGUUUUCUCCCCAACAUCGUCAGUAUUUAUUUAUUUAACUUACGAUGGAUACGGUGCGGGAAAUUUAUUUCAGCGUCAAAAACAUUAUCAGGAAAUAAAGGCUAUGAAAGCACAGGCACUUGUUUUAAAACAUCGUAUGGAUAAUUCACAAGCUGACGAAAAAGCUUUCUUAAAAAAAGGCGGCUUUUUUGCUAGGAACUAUCUUUAUAAAACUAAAUACAACUUUGAUCGUGUAAUAGAAGAUUACACACAAGAAGCUACGUCUAAAGGGGAUUUUAAUAAUUUUAGAGGUGCUGGAAAACCUUUGUAAUGCACAAACGCAAAGUCCCUGCUUGGAUUUCACUACCCAUAAACUGAAUAAGAUUUUAUUGGACAAUGGUUUUACAUCCUGAUUCCUUGUCAUCUGCAUCGUGACACCGUCAUUACCUGCCAAUGGAGAUUAUACGGCUUAUAUAGAUUGGCUGAAAGAUCACAAGACAGCCCAUGAAAUUACGACAGUCGAGUAAAUGAUUUUCGUAUAGUGGGGACUCUUACUUACACUACCCAGCUGAGUCAUCUAAUAAAUCAUUACCGAUGGGCGAAAAUGUCAAGUUAUUGUUUACCGUUGUUAUACAAAACGACUCAAUGAAAAAACUUUUAAAUAAUUCAGCAAUUCAAUGACGAGGACGACGGUGAUGAUGACGAUCAAAGAGGAGAAAAACGCAGAUAAAUCUGUUAACAGUUCGAAACAAAUUAACAAAACGGAUAAUAAUGAAACCGUAAAAAGCGAAAAAGAAAAAUUGAAAAACUAAAAUUAACUAAACAAAAUUGAAAAACUGACAAUAAUUUUUACCUGAAAAGUAAUCUGAACAAUUAAUGCUUGAUUUAUUAUACGUAAGACGUACUUU